UACGUAGGGUCCGAGCGUUGUCCGGAUUUAUUGGGCGUAAAGAGCUCGUAGGCGGUUCCGUAAGUCAGAUGUGAAAACUCAGGGCUCAACCCGGAGACGCCAUCUGAUACUGCGGUGACUGGAGUCUGGUAGGGGAACACGGAAUUCCUGGUGUAGCGGUGAAAUGCGCAGAUAUCAGGAGGAACACCGAUGGCGAAGGCAGUGUUCUGGGCCAGUACUGACGCUGAGGAGCGAAAGCGUGGGGAGCAAACAGA
rnacentral:rRNA from 1 species